AGUGAACGCUGGCGGUAGGCCUAACACAUGCAAGUCGAACGGCAGCACAGUAAGAGCUUGCUCUUACGGGUGGCGAGUGGCGGACGGGUGAGGAAUACAUCGGAAUCUACUUUUUCGUGGGGGAUAACGUAGGGAAACUUACGCUAAUACCGCAUACGACCUACGGGUGAAAGCAGGGGAUCUUCGGACCUUGCGCGAUUGAAUGAGCCGAUGUCGGAUUAGCUAGUUGGCGGGGUAAAGGCCCACCAAGGCGACGAUCCGUAGCUGGUCUGAGAGGAUGAUAAGCCACACUGGAACUGAGACACGGUCCAGACUCCUACGGGAGGCAGCAGUGGGGAAUAUUGGACAAAGGGCGCAAGCCUAAUCCAGCCAUACCGCGUGGGUGAAGAAGGCCUUCGGGUUGUAAAGCCCUUUUGUUGGGAAAGAAAAGCAGCAGGUUAAUACCCCGCUGUUCUGACGGUACCCAAAGAAUAAGCACCGGCUAACUUCGUG
rnacentral:rRNA from 1 species